GACGGGACCCCGCACAAGCGGUGGAUCAUGUUGUUUAAUUCGAUGAUACGCGAAGAACCUUACCAGGUCUUGACAUCCCCCGCGAUGCUUUAGAGAUAAAGCGGAGGUAUUCGGGGAGACAGGUGGUGCAUGGUUGUCGUCAGCUCGUGUCGUGAGAUGUUGGGUUAAGUCCCGCAACGAGCGCAACCCCUAUUGCUAGUUACCAUCAUUAAGUUGGGGGACUCUAGCGAGACUGCCAGUGAUAAACUGGAGGAAGGUGGGGAUGACGUCAAAUCAUCAUGCCCCUUAUGACCUGGGCUACAAACGUGAUACAAUGGCUGGAACAAAGGGAUGCGAAGCAGUGAUGUGGAGCGAAACCCAUAAAAACAGUCUCAGUUCGGAUUGAAGUCUGCAACUCGACUUCAUGAAGCUGGAAUCGCUAGUAAUCGUGGAUCAGCCAAGCCGCGGUGAAUACGUUCCCGGGCCUU
rnacentral:rRNA from 1 species